rnacentral:rRNA from 1 species
GACGAACGCUGGCGGCGUGCUUAACACAUGCAAGUGGAGCGACGAACCAGGGCUUGCCCUGGGGCAGAGCCGCGAACGGGUGAGUAACACGUAGGUAACGUGCCCCGAUGACUGGGACAACCCGGGGAAACCCGGGCUAAUACCGGAUGUGCCCCCUCACAUCAGUGAGGUGUGUAAAGGAAGCUUCGGCCUCCGCAUCGGGAUCGGCCCGCGGCCCAUUAGCUUGUUGGUGAGGUAACGGCUCACCAAGGCUGCGAUGGGUAGCUGGUCUGAGAGGACGAUCAGCCACACUGGGACUGAGACACGGCCCAGACUCCUACGGGAGGCAGCAGUGGGGAAUCUUGCGCAAUGCGCGAAAGCGUGACGCAGCAACGCCGCGUGGGGGAAGACGGCCUUCGGGUUGUAAACCCCUUUCAGUUGGGACGAAGGUCGGGCGGUUAACAGCCGUUCCGGCUGACGGUACCUUCACAAGAAGCCCCGGCUAACUACGUG